UGUACAUGUAUAUUAGUUCCUUGGCCAGGUUUUUCUUCCCUUUGUUCUGCUCUUGUUCCAUGUGAGUUCCUUUCCUGGAUGAAUCGGCUGAAGUGAGAACUAUUCUUGAACUGUCUCAACUCUUCAUAUAACUGCGGUGUGGAGUUGGACUGGCGAGCCUCCUUUAAGCGAAUCUUUGAACCUUUGCGUGAAUUUCACCGGUUGACAGACACAGGAACUAAACUUGCACACCUUCAACUGACCUGCGCCCAGACGAGCUGCUGAAUGCAAAGCAGGAGAGAGCUGCGUGUGAAGCUGGAAAAUCUCGCUCGAGUCAAUCUAGCGAACAAAUGUCAAGAACCGGCCGCUGAAAGCCAGCAGAGGUCAUGAACCGCUAACGGCCCUGAUGAGGAGAUGAACAUGAAGGUAUCAUUAGAGCGACACUCACAGACACACACACACUCACAGACACACACACACUCACAGACACACACACACUCACAGACACACACACACUCACGGACACACGCACACUCACAGACACACACACACUCACAGACACACACACACUCACAGACACACACACACUCACAGACACACACACACUCACGGACACACGCACACUCACAGACACACACGCGCGCGCUCGCUCAUACACACACGCAUACACGUUAAUCUAAACGCCAGUUAUUAAUACGCUCACACUGUCACCUCCAAAACAGAGCAGCCGGCGCUAAUGAAUAUUUAAUUGACAUAACACACAGUGAGUCGUGCCAGUGUUAAUAUAACACUGAUGUGAAGUGCUCACGCUAAACGACAUGAACACACCAGUCACAGGAGAGCUGCGUCUCUUCACUGAGAUCAAACACAAGAAGAACCACACUGUCCAUCUUCAGAAAACAGAAUCAGAAUCAGUGCUGGGAGAGAUACUCUGGAAGUAUCACGGUUCCUCUGUUUUAAAUGUAAUAAGUAGCUUUUUUCUAGCAUCAUUUUCCCUUGUCAAUCAUAUUAAAACAUGUAAAGCAGGGUUAACUUUACACUAUGCUAUAAUACUCAACACUAAUUUCUGUCAGACUUUGAAAAUCAUUUAAAUUAAGAGUAAAAUAAUUUCAGUUUAAAGCACAGCCACCAUAAAAUCAAACUUUAGCACCUCCGUCUCUGAGGUUAAAUGUAGAUUUAAAAUCAUAAGAAAAAGUUGAAUAGCUGUGUUUAUGAAAUCAUUUCCCAAAAAGGAAAUACAAUAGAUCCAGUCAUAAACUCCUGAAACACUGGGGUCUCUUUAACCAGUCAAUGCCAUUUGGGAAUGAAAUCAAUCAUAUCUGUAUAGUAUGUGUGUGACAAUGUAAAACAAAUGUAAUUCUUAACAUUUUCAUAAGUAGCUGUAAUUUAAUUACACAUUUUAUCCUCAGUAACUGUAACAGAUUAACUGGGUUACAUGUAACUAGUCCCUCCCCAGCACUGAUCAGUACAGCAGAAGAAACGCAGAUGAUGACGCACCGACGCAGAGAAGCACAGGACUAAUGCGACGCAAGCAGCAGGAAACAUGCUCUCUUACCUGGACGUCUCUAAACACUUUCAGGAGUGCUUUGAGUGAAACACAAGCAUCAGCGAAGCUUCAGCGUUCAGCGGCUCUGUGUCUCGCUGCUGCUCAAGCCUCUAUUUAUCUUUGCUAAAUGACUCAGGUGAAUCUCACUGGUGAUUCAGCAGGUGUCACAUCUUGGCUUUAGAGACAGUAGAGCAUGAGUGGGCACACACACACACACACACACACACACACUCUUCAUCAGGAGCUCAUCACGUCUCCUCUGCUGUUCUGGGCUUCUCACGCUCACUCACCAACAGCAUGAUUCAUACACUGUGUGUGUGUGUGUGUGUGUGUGUGUGUGUGUGUGUGUUCAGUUAAACACAGCUAAUAACACACUUAACCCUUUCUGUGUAGGUAAAUGUGAGCCGUAAUCAAUUUCAUAUCUCUAUAGAGCCACAUGCGUGAAAGAUUCAUAGAGAGCACGUCUUUACUGAGGAAUCAUAAUACACUACUGUCUAAUAAUCAGAGAAUACAAUAAACAUAAUUAGAGCUCUAAAGUCUUGCUCUAAUUAAUGAGAAAUCGGUGACACUUCACAAUAUGGAUGCACUAACAUACAUAUAUUCUCCAAUUCAUUACUGUUCAGUGCAUUGAAACAAUAUUUACUGUUAAAAGUGUUGUGUAAAUAAAGGUGAUGAUAAAGGUGGCAUUAAUUAUUGCUUAAUGCAUGUAACUAAAGCACAGAUAAUCACGACUUAAUGUAUAACGCAUGAAGAGAUAGACCAUUUAUUACUGCAUCAGCAACUAAUAAGCAUUGCAUAUAAUUCAUAGAUUAAGUAAUGAAUCAAUUAUUAUUCGUUAAAUGUGUCAUGAACUGAUCCUCUAAUAACAUAUUAUAUUAUAUUAUAUAAAAUUAAAUUCACAUGGUUGAACCUAUGAACUUCAGCUUCCAGUUGUCUGCUUUAAUUAAACAUUAGCUAAUGAUUUGCAAAGACAGCUCAUUCAAAAUCCAUAAACACAAUGCACUAAAUAAUUUGUUAAUAGUCUUGUGCCUCAACAAGUAAAUAUUAGUUGUAUUCUUAUGUUCUGAUUACUCUGAUCUCUUCUCACAAUCAGCUGUUCUCUUCGAGCGUUUGCUGUGUCUCUGAUUCACAGACGGUCAGAAGUUCAUGAAGAGUUCAAGCGGUCAAACACUCGAGGAACGCUGGCAGUGACGUCAGGCUUAAUGAUUCGAACCCUCGUCAGCUGAGCAAAAUUAUUAAAGAGGAACAUGUGUUUUAUGCUGCUUCUGGUUUUGAGGAAAGAGGCUGCUGUUGAAACGCUCUGAAUCACCGACUCAAGCAGCAGAAACACACUAAUUCUCAGCCUCUGACUCAGGUUUCAAUUUUAUAAAACACUUUUUUCAAAACGACACAUAAUUCACUCCGUAACACAAAUAACAGGAAGUGUCUUGAUUUCCUUUUUUUUAGACACAACCAGUCAGAAUAAAUCGUCACAAUCAACACACAUCUACACAACUUCACACGCUUGAUGUGUUUCUUUCCUUCUGUGAGAUACUGUUUUCACAAACACAGCUUACAGUAAAAAAGAUGUGUUUCAAUCUUGUAUCUGUGAUUACUUUCAGCCUUGUGGCUCAUGAAAGAACAGCCUAGGUUUUACACAACUGUUCAUAACUAAAAUAUUAUGACGUGAAGCAUUUUACAUUUUGUGUGUGCAAUUCCUGAAUGUUUUGAAAAUGUGUGUAAGCCGUUGAAAAAAACACAAAGUGAAAUGAAUUGUCUCUCACGCUGAGUGAAACACUGCAAGGUGAAGAUUCAGCUCUAAUGCCCAGAAACAGACCACAAAAUAUUUCAAAAUCAGUUAUUCUCGGAAGAAUGUCGGCGUGUCCAGUAAUCUCAAGUGUUUGUCAGCGGAGGGAAGCUCUUAUCUUUGGUUUGGUCUGUGGGCGUUUACCUCCGAGGGUCACGGGGUCAAAGAACAGCGGGGUGAGUCUCAACAAAUCAGGACAGGACAAAAACAAAAGGAAAAGGAUUAUUUAUUCACAAUAAAUUUAUACAUCAUUUAUAUAUAUAUAUAUAUAUAUAUAUACACAUAAAAAGAGCUGGCUCUGAAUCACUGAAAAGAGUUUCCACGGUAACGCUGUACACAAAGCAGCGCUGCGAUCACAAACACUGCUUUAUCACACAUUACACACAUGAUGAGAUGAACAUCGAUUGGGAAAGUUAGGAUAAAUACAUAUUAUAAGACAAUGAAAGUGUUUUAUGUCCAGAAAAUAACCUUUUCAUCACCCAUGAUAGGGACACUAGACGAGCUGUUAGAACGCAGAACGCAGCUAAACGCUCGUGAGGACGUGAGGAAGAUGUGAGGAUGACUGUCAGACACUCAAACCAUUUAUAAUCUUUCAGUAUUACAAGGACAAACACCUGGAACCAAGACAUCCUCAAAUAAAGACCACAGUCUCGUUUGCUGGGAUUGAAAUAAUUAAUAUGUGUUUAUUGCUUUCUGUGAUGUCAGAGACAGAGGCAGGAAAAAAAAAAGGUUCUGCUUGUUUUAUUAAUCAUUACAUGGCGUUUCUUUAAGAGCGAACUCCAGCGCUGUUCUGGAAACACACAGCGACGGGACGAGAAUCACACGGGUCUGAACGAGCGAAGAAGACCAGAAUAAACUCAUCUCCUCUAGAACUGAUUGAAGUGUUCGUGUGUUUAUGCUCCAAUCCGGUGUUUGAUUUCAGACACUUUUCAUCUGCUCUUUUGGUUUCUCUCAUCCCUCACCUGGAGUAAGAGCACGUUAAUAAUGAAAGUGUAAACUUUCAUUUUGAUGCUUUACAGUUUGUGUUAUUAUUAUUAGACUGUUUGUUAAAGAGUGAAAAAUCCCACACAGAGAGAUGAAGAGCACAAACACAAAUCAUUUGUUUUUCGUCCCUGGUCCUGUGAAGAAGUGCUGAGCACAACACGAGUAAAGUAAAACCCUCAGAGCUGUUCUCAAUUCAAUCUAAAGCACAGCUUCACGGAGCUGAUUGCUUUUCUAAAUCUGUUAGCAUGUGCUUAGCCCACAUAUGAAGGUGGAAAGGUGAGUUUCUUUCUUCUGCUGAACACAAGAGUUCCCAGACACCACUGUUUUCUGUAGUACUUUUAUUUAAUUUCAUAUUUCACUUUGAAAAUCAACGGCUUCCAGCAUCUGUUUGCUUCCCAGCGUUCUUCAGAAUAUCUUCUUUUGGUAAACAACUCCUGGUUCUUCUGUAGAUUUUACCUGCUCUGCUACUAUUUUAACUGUUUUAAUUCAUUUAAAAAAAAUGUAAAUCAUUUUAAAAUGUUGCUCCCUUGAUUUUAUUUGUGUGGUUAUUUUUAGUUCCUUUCUGUAAAUUACUUUGAAUCACCAUGUGCAUUAAAUGUGGCGUAUAAAUAAACUUGAUAAAUGAAACUGUAAGAGAAAAUGUGCUUGUGUCUGCAUUUUGGGAAAUAUACAGCACAGGGACAACACACAGUUUAGCCUUGGUCUUUAUGUCUCUUUUCAUGUUCUUACAGUAUGCUGACUUUAGGAUGGCCUGUUUUUAUCACUUCUGUGUAAUCACUUUGAAUUAGUUUUCUGUAUUAAAGACGCAACAUAAAUAAAUAUGCCUUGCUUGUGUCUCUUUCUGUUGUCUGUCUCGUUCAGACGUUCACACACACACUCGUUUAAUCACAGAGCAGGCUAGUGUUUGUCUCUCUUCCCUCUUCUUUUAUUAAUGUGUCUGUCGUUCUUCUCAUUUUCACUGUGAUUGUUGACACGCAGAAUACAACAUGACUUUAUUUCAUUCCAGAUGUUUCUGAGUCUCACUGUUGCACAAGGAUUUCUCUGUUCAUUCACACAAGAGCAGUGACACACACACACACACACUAACACACACACACACACACACGGGUGGGUGGAGCCGUAGGAAAAUGCAGCAUGUUUCUCUGAUGUGAGUGGGUGAGUUUGAAAGAUCAUUAAAGCAAAAGACAGUGAAGGAAAAUAAAGCCGCCGUUCGUACAGCAACAUGAGAAACGCAUCAGUCACAGAAGAACACACACAAGCAGUGUGAGAGAGGAGUGUGUGUGUGUGUGUGUGUGUGUGUGUGUGUGAGAGAGAGAAGGAGUCUGUGUGUGUGU